rnacentral:rRNA from 1 species
ACAUGCCUACAACAUAACGUUAAUGCACCAUAUUCCAUUAGAACUCCGCAGUUAAGUGCAUUCAGGCUGGAGUAGUACUGGGAUGGGUGAUUGGCCAAGAAGUACUAGUGUUUUACAUGCC